rfam:Medicago truncatula strain A17 chromosome 3, whole genome shotgun sequence.
AAGCCGUGUGAUGAGCACAUAGCAAACUAUUAUUUCGUCUUUUACUAAAAAAAUACCAUAUGCGUAUCACUUAUAGCAGCAUACACUUAUUUUUUAAAGAGCUCUCUAUAUCGAGGGCU